UGCCUCCCAAUUCUGGUACCACAGGCUGCGUUCUUUACCACCGACUGUAUAGAAAGAGAAGGUACAGUGAAAUGAACUCCAUAUAAACCUCAACACAGGCCCAUUGCCUGGUUGUAUUGUGAAUGGGGGGACAAAA